UCCAAGAAGUAGAGGCUGCUGUGAGCCGAGAUCGUGCCAGUGCACUCCAGUCUGGGCAAAAGAGAAAGACUCAGUAUCAAACAAAAAAAGAAGAAAGCAAAUGCCUUGGUUUUUCAGAAAUACACAAAGAGGUAUUUAAGGAUAAGGGUGGCAUGUCUUCAACUUACACUCAAAUGACUUUUUUCAAAAAACUAUAAGCAA